rnacentral:rRNA from 1 species
UACGUAGGGAGCAAGCGUUGUCCGGAAUCAUUGGGCGUAAAGCGCGCGUAGGUGGCCUCGUAAGUCCGCUGUGAAAGUCAAAGGCUCAACCUUUGAAAGCCGGUGGAUACUGUGAGGCUAGAGUACGGAAGAGGCGAGUGGAAUUCCUGGUGUAGCGGUGAAAUGCGCAGAUAUCAGGAGGAACACCAAUGGCGAAGGCAGCUCGCUGGAACGGUACUGACGCUGAGGCGCGAAAGCGUGGGGAGCGAACAGG